UCACCGCAUCAAUACAACAACAAAUUCAAGAGUAUUAAUUCAGCCACGUACACCACUGAUGGCGGUGUUCCCAUUUACCCAUUUGACACAACAGCACAAUGUCUGCACAGAAAAGGUCACACAGCGUUCGUUGACACACAGCACAAUGGUUGCGUAAACAUUUGUGUGCAGACAAACUCACCGUUGUAUGACAGAAAUAUCUGUGUCCAAUGUGUUGUGCAUCAGUUGUAUAACCUGAGUGUGUAUGGGGUGUGUAUAACCUGAGUGUGUAUGGGGUGUGUAUAACCUGAGUGUGUAUGGGGUGUGUAUAACCUGAGUGUGUAUGGGGUGUGUAUACCUGAGUGUGUAUGGGGUGUGUAUACCUGAGUGUGUAUGGAGUGUGUAUACCUGAGUGUGUAUGGGGUGUGUAUAACUGAGUGUGUAUGGGGUGUGUAUAACUGAGUGUGUAUGGGGUGUGUAUAAACUGAGUGUGUAUGGGGUGUGUAUAACAUGAGUGUGUAUGGGGUGUGUAUAACAUGAGUGUGUAUGGGGUGUGUAUAACCUGAGUGUGUAUGGGGUGUGUAUAACCUGAGUGUGUAUGGGGUGUGCAUAACCUGAGUGUGUAUGGGGUGUGUAUAACAUGAGUGUGUAUGGGGUGUGUAUAACCUGAGUGUGUAUGGGGUGUGUAUAACCUGAGUGUUUAUGGGGUGUGUAUAACCUGAGUGUGUAUGGGGUGUGUAUAACCUGAGUGUGUAUGGGGUGUGUAUAACCUGAGUGUGUAUGGGGUGUGUAUAACCUGAGUGUGUAUGGGGUGUGUAUAACCUGAGUGUGUAUGGGGUGUGUAUAACCUGAGUGUGUAUGGGGUGUGUAUAACCUGAGUGUGUAUGGGGUGUGUAUAACCUGAGUGUGUAUGGGGUGUGUAUACCUGAGUGUGUAUGGGGUGUGUAUAACCUGAGUGUGUAUGGGGUGUGUAUAACCUGAGUGUGUAUGGGGUGUGUAUACCUGAGUGUGUAUGGGGUGUGUAUGGCUUGGGGGUAGAAGCUGUUUAGAAGCCUCUUGGACCUAGACUUGGCGCUCCGGUACCGCUUGCCGUGCGGUAGCAGAGAAAACAGUCUAUGACUAGGGUGGCUGGAGUCUUUGACAAUUUUUAGGGUCUUCCUCUGACACCGCCUGGUAUAGAGGUCCUGGAUGGCAGGAAGCUUGGCCCCAGUGAUGUACUGGGCCGUUCGCACUACCCUCUGUAGUGUCUUGCGGUCGGAGGCCGAGCAGUUGCCAUACCAAAACCACGGCCAUCAUUAUCAUAUUUCCCAGCAUGCUCUUUUGCUGGUUGAUUUUUAGAAUAGUUUAUUUCAAUAUUUAUGUUUCUGCAUGAUUGAUGAAUUAAUAGGCUAUUGUUUGCGAACUGCAUCAGCCACCCAAACGAUUCGUUCUCAAGUUUGAGUGUUGAGCAGAGACAGACUGAGUAUGUUUUGGUUCUACAAAGCAGUGUCCAUCGAUAACAUUCAAUAAUAAAUUGAUUGCUUUCAUUCUUGGACCAUACGAUCAUUUAUCAGUUCUAAACGGGUAUUUUUCUUCUUUGUGCUGCACAUGAUAGACGGUGGCGGAGCAUGUCCCUAGAGUAGCGCGUAUUAAUCCUGCUGUAGAAUUCAUUGCGGCAAGCAGGUCAAACGAACCAUUAAAAUGAACGGGUCACUAAGAAAUAUGUAUCAUGACUCGAGUCAGUAAAAGGAGUUGUUCAAACAUAACGAAUUGUUCACAAUCUGCACAUCACUAAUAUCUUAGUCUUCCCAACCUGGAAGUCAUUCUGAAUGCAAGUUGCGGGUGAAAUUAAAUUCAAAAUGUUGGAUAUCCCCACUCUGGUUGGAUUCCAAUAGGAAUUACACAUCACUUUGUAAGUCAUUAUAUGUGAGUUUCAGGCCUGAAAACCAUGAGUUUCAGGCCACUGUAUUAGGGUAAAACUUUGCCCUCAGAAUCAAUUCAAAGUUUAUUUGUCACGUGCGCUGAAUACAACAGGUGUAGACCUAACAGUGAAAUGCUAACUUACCAAUUGUGCGAAAAAGGUAUUAGGUGAACAAUAGGUAAGUAAAGAAAUAAAACAACAGUAAAAAGACAGGCUAUAUACAGUAGCGAGGCUACAUACAGACACAAGUUAGUCAGGCUGAUUGAGGUAGUAUGUAGAUAUGGUUAAAGUGACUGUGCAUAUAUGAUGAACAGAGAGUAGCGUAAAAGAGAGGUUGGCGGGUGGCGGCACACAAUGCAGAUAGCCUGGUUAGCCAAUUUGCGGGAGCACUGGUUGGUCGGCCCAAUUGAGGUAGUAUGUACAUGAAUGUAUAGUUAAAGUGACUAUGCAUAUAUGAUAAAUAUAUGAUGCAUAUAUGAUCCGGGUAGCCAUUUGAUUACCUGUUCAGGAGUCUUAUGGCUUGGGUUAAAUACAGUUGAGAAGCCUUUUUGUCCUAGACUUGGCACUCCGGUACCGCUUGCCAUGCGGUAGUAGAGAGAACAGUCUAUGACUGGGGUGGCUGGGGUCUUUGACAAUUGUUAGGGCCUUCCUCUGACACCGCCUGGUGUAGAGGUCCUGGAUGGCAGGCAGCUUAGCCCCGUUCGCACUACCCUCUGUAGUGCCUUGCGGUUAGAGGCCGAGCAAUUGCCGUACCAGGCAGUGAUGCAACUAGUCAGGAUUCUCUCGAUGUUGCAGCUGUAGAAUCUUUUGAGGAUCUCAAGACCCAUGCCAAAUCUUUUUGAGGGGGAUUAGGCUUUGCCGUGCCCUCUUCACAAAAUCAGGCCUUAUUAUAUAUUUGUUGAAUUGUGUUAAAUAAUUUAAUUUGAAUGAUAAAAUAUUCACUUAGGAUUGAAUGCAAGUCAUGGGUGGUAACUCUACAAUUCACUCGAAAGGCAAGGCACUCUGGGAAAUAAAGCUUACACUAAGUGUUUUAAUUUCACACUGAAAAGUGUAGAGCAGUAUAGACACUGGGCCAGUGUUAAAUUUAAAGGAAAAUGUCACUUCUGCUCUUUCUCUGUGUUCAUUAAUAUGUUUUUAACAUAUGUCUCGAAAAAAAUGGCAAAUUUACAAAUACAAGCAUUUCUGCAUCUCACCAGUAGAAACAGGCCAUCUAUACUGAACAAAAAUAUAAACGCAACAUGCAACAAUUUCAAUGAUUUUACUGAGUUACAGUUCAUGUAAGGAAAUCAUUCAAUUGAAAUAAAUUCAGCAGGCUCUAAUCUAUGGAUUUCACAUGACUGGGGAGUAGCGAAGCCAUGUGUGGGCUUUGGAGGGCAUAGGCCCACACACUGGAGAGCCAGGCCCAGCCAAUCAGAAUGAGUUUUUUCCCACAAAAGGGCUUUAUUAUAGACAGAAAUACUCCUCAGUUUCAUCAGCUGUGCGGGUGGCUGGUCUCAGACGAUCCAGCAGGUGAAGAAGCCGGAAGUGGAGGUCCUGGGCUGGCGUGGUUACAUGUGGUCUGCAUUUGUGAGGCUGGUUGGACUCACUGCCAAAUUCUCUAAAAUGACGUUGGAGGCGGCUUAUGCUAGAGAAAUUAACAUAAAAUUAUCUGGCAACAGCUCUGGUGGACAUUCCUGCAGUCAGCAUGCCAAUUGCAUGCUCCCUCAACUUGAGACAGCUGUGGUAUUGUGUUGUGUUUCAAAACUGCACAUUUUAGAAUGGCCUUUUAUUUUCCACAACACAAGGUGCACCUGUGUAAUGAGCAUGCUGUUUGAUCCACUUCUUGAUAUGCCACACCUGUCAGGUGGAUUAUCUUGGCAAAGGAAAAAAUGCUCACUAACAGGAAAGUAAACAAAUUUGUGCACAACAUUUGAGAGAAUUAAGCUUUUUGUGCGUAUUGAACAUAUCUGGUAUCUUUUAUUUCAGCUCAUGAAACAUGGGACCAACACUUUACAUGUUGCAUUUAUAUAUAUAUAUUUUCUUCUGGUUGUAAGCGAACCACAAUAUCCAGGUCAUAGCAAUUUCAGGACAUAGUGUCGCCUCUGUCUAGGUGGAUCCAGUUGAGAAUGGGCGUCAACAGGUAGCAAACGUUACUCACUGUACCAGCCACUCGUUCAUAGAACAUCAGAUCGCGAAUAACAUUUUUUUUUUGUGUAUGUCGACAAUAAGCAGGUAACCGAUAAAAUUUGACUCCAGCAGCCUGCGCUUGCUUGUAGUUUGCACAUUCCGGUACUGAGCACCACAACAUGACUAGACUUUACAGGAGAUAUUCCUAGGGGCUGACAGUGGCUGGCAGCAAUAAAGAACCCUGCCUAUGAUGUGAAUACUCCUGUGGAGAAAUAUCCAAAUCUCCGUGUUUGUAGCCAGCACUUUCAGCCAGAGGAUUUCGAAAUGGACAUGAAGUUUCAACUGAUGGGGUUGCCAGGUCGUCGAAUGUUGAAAAGUGAAGAAGCAAUUCCGUCGGUUUUUAUCUUCACUUCAAAGAGGAAGGCAUCCGAUCACCCAACAUCAGCGCAGAAAAGAAGUCGACCAGAGAGUCCAAUACCAUUGACAUCUGCAGCACAUCAACAUCAAGAUCAGCACCAGGAACUAGUAGUCGCCAAAUACACCACCUAUUGCCUGACUACCGAUGACGUCAGCGAGAUUGUGCAGAGUGAACUAAUACAGGUCACGGAGGCACCCAGUUCUGUUGCGACGGAGGUAGUAAUUGGAUUCAAGCGAGCUCUGACAAAGCUGGUGGACAACAUGGGUCUCACAGUGGAUGUGGUCACAAUCUAUACGCAAGAUGAGGGAUCUCUUCUCUGACGUCUAACAAGAGCUUGAUGUGUCGCAUACAGUGAAAGAUUAGCACUGCAGAACCCAACCUUGAACAAGAUGGGUCCCAUUAUGUCUGCUGAAAACCAAACACUGCUUUCCACAGUAAGAACCUCAUACCAACAGUCAAGCGUGGUGGUUUGGGGAUGCUUUGCUGCCUCAGGACCUGGACGACUUGCCUUAAUAGAAGGAACAACGAAUUCUGCUCUGUAUGAGAGAAUUUUGCAAGAGAAUGUCAGGCCAUCAGUCUGAGCUGAAGCUGAAUCGCAGCUGGGUCAUGCAGCAAGACGACGAUCAAAAACACAAUCAAGUCUCCAUGAAAAUGGUUAAAAAGCAAGCAACAAAUUUUGAGUUUUGGAAUCGCCUAGUCGAAGUCCAGACCCAAUCCCAAUUGAGAUGUUGUGGCAGGACUUGAAACGAGCAGUUCACGCUUGAAAACCCAUAAAUGUUGCUGAGUUAAAGCAGUUCUGCAUGCAAGAGUGGGCCAAAAUUCCUCCUCAGCGAUGUGAGAGACUGAUCAACAACUACAGGAAGUAUUUAGUUGCAGUCAUUGCAGCUAAAGGUGGCACAACCAGUUAUUGAGUGUAUCCAAAAUAAACAUCUGCUGAAGGCCAAGAAGCGAGGAAAUGAGACCUUGUGUCCCUCUACGUUCCCUCACAAACCACAUGUUUUGGUGUUCAGCAAGGUGUAUUGGAGACCCUGAGGUAAAUUAAAUUGAGAGAACCGCACCGUAAGUUAUGUUUCUUGUUUACAUUUACAUUUACAUUUAAGUCAUUUAGCAGACGCUCUUAUCCAGAGCGACUUACAAAUUGGUGCAUUCACCUUAUGACAUCCAGUGGAACAGCCACUUUACAAUAGUGCAUCUAGAUCUUUUAAGGGGGGGGGGGGGGGGGCAGAAGGAUUGCUUUAUCCUAGGUAUUCCUUGAAGAGGUGGGGUUUCAGGUGUCUCCGGAAGGUGGUGAUUGACUCCGCUGUCCUGGCGUCGUGAGGGAGUUUGUUCCACCAUUGGGGUGCCAGAGCAGCGAACAGUUUUGACUGGGCUGAGCGGGAACUGUACUUCCUCAGUGGUAGGGAGGCGAGCAGGCCAGAGGUGGAUGAACGCAGUGCCCUUGUUUGGGUGUAGGGCCUGAUCAGAGCCUGAAGGUACUGAGGUGCCGUUCCCCUCACAGCUCCGUAGGCAAGCACCAUGGUCUUGUAGCGGAUGCGAGCUUCAACUGGAAGCCAGUGGAGAGAGCGGAGGAGCGGGGUGACGUGAAGGUUUGUUCACUGUAAUGUGCUGUCAUUCUCACCCCAAAUCUGAUCGAUAUGCAUUGGUCCAGGAGACACCUAACUUGUACUGGUGCAUGCCCUGUACUGAUGAUAUCUAAAAGCAGAUAUAUGUCGUCUGUCUUUGAAGGAGCUGAAGCGUAUGUGGGCCUCCGUUCUCAAGGACAUCUGUGAGGUUCACAGCUGGACACGGGGGGAAGAAGUCCACUGUCAACACCCUGACCUCAGUUGUGUUUGAUGACCUCUGCGAUUGUGUUGGACAAACAUUUGAAAACUGAUCUCUAACAAAUGACCAGAUUCAAACAUACAGUUUAGUGGUCAUCAAUAACCAUAACGUUUUUAUAUUUUCAAUCAGAAAAGCCAACAAUACUUAGUCUACUCUGUUUUGUCUUUAUAAACACACAGGCCAUCUGGAGGCAUUCCACAGUGCUCUCCUAAAGUACUCCCCAAAGCGGGAGCAUUUUGGGCUCCUGUGAAAUGAAAAAGUGGACACAGAGUGGAAAGCAUAAUGAGAAUGUGGGAUGCAAACAAGCCAAAGGAGACUUGCAGUACAAACUAAUCUAUUGUAAGAGGUCGAAGCAGUGGGUGCUGAAGAAAAUGUACUAACUCAGAACCCACAACUUCAGGGAGAGACUUGUCCACCUGGCUGUGGAGCGAAGAAAGGACAAGACAGUGGUCUACAAGCAGCCAAUGUCACAGCUCCCCAACAUCCCUGUCUACAUCGCCACAGCGCCAAUGCCUACUAAACUAGCUGCCAUUGACCAACACAAGAUGAGGUUCACCAACUGAAGAACAUUCAGGACACUGCCUGUAUCAUUCAGCCAACAGAACAUCCAUAUUCAAUUAGGCUGAUAUAGUAUAAUAUAGAAUGCGUAGUAUGCUUACAACUCAAAUUAAAUUGUAUUUGUCCCCUGUAAAUGAGGUGUAGACUAAUUGUGAAAUGCUUACUUACGAGUCCUUUUUCAGACAAUGCAGAGUUAAGAUAAUGAUAUAAAAUAACAAAUAAAAAUGGUGAGACGAAAAAUAAAUACACAGUGAAUAAUGAAUAGCACAACGAGUAAAAGUAACAUGGCUAUAUACAGGGAGUACCAGUACCGAGUCGAUGUGCAGGUGUACGAGAUAAUUGAGGUAGCUAUGUACAUAUAGGUAGGGGUAAAGUAACUAGGCAACAGAAUAGAUAAUAGACAAUAGCAGCAGUGUAUGUGGUGAGUGUGGCAUCAAAUUUGAUUGGUUACAUAUACGUGAUUAGCAGAUGUUAUUGCAGGUGUAGUGAAAUGUUUGUGCUUUUACCUCCAACAGUGCAGUAACAGCUAACAAGUAAUAUCUAACAAAUUACACAACAUAUACACACAAAUCUAAGUAGGAAUGAAUUAAGACUAUAUACAUAUGGACAAAUGAUGUCAGAGCUGAACUCACUAAGAUACAGUAGAAUAGUAUAGAAAAACAGUAUAUACAUAUGAGAUGAGUAAAGCAAAAUAUGUAAGCAUUAUUAAGUGAAUCAGAUACUGUAGAAUAGUAUAGAGAACAGUACAGUCGUGGCCAAAAGUUUUGAGAAUGACACAAAAAUGAAUUUCCAUAAAGUUUGCUGCUUCAGUGUCUAGAUACUUUUGUCAGAUGUUACUAUGGAAUACUGAAGUAUAAUUACAAGCAUUUCAUGGGUGUCAAAGGCUUUUAUUGAUAAUUACAUGAAGUUGAUUCAAAUAGUCAAUAUUGCAGUGUUGACCCUUCUUUUUCAAGACCUCUGCAAUCCACCCUGGCAUGCUGUCAAUUAACUUCUGGACCACUGACUGAUGGCAGACCAUUCUUGCAUAAUCAAUGCUUGGAGUUUGUCAGAAUUUGUGGGUUUUUGUUUGUCCACCUGCCUCUUGAGAAUUGACCACAAGUUCUCAAUGGGGUUAAGGUCUGGGGAGUUUUCUGGCCAUGGACCCAACAUAUCUAUGUUUUGUUCCCUGAGCCAUUUAGUUAUCACGUUUGCCUUAUGGCAAGGUGCUCCAUCAUGCUGGAAAAGGCAUUGUUCGUCACCAAACUCCUCCUGGAUGGUUGGGAGAAGUUGCUCCCAGAGAAUGUGUUGGUACCAUUCUUUAUUCAUGGCUGUGUUCUUAGGCAAAAUUGUGAAAGAGCCCACUCCCUUGGCUGAGAAGCAACCCCACACAUGAAUGGUCUCAGGAUGCUUUACUGUUGGCAUGACACAGGACUGAUGGUAGCGCUCACCUUGUCUUCUCCGGAUAAGCUUUUUUCCAGAUGCCCCAAACAAUCGGAAAGGGGAUUCAUCAGAGAAAAUGACUUUACCCCAGUCCUCAGCAGUCCAAUCCCUGUACCUUUUGCAGAAUAUCAGUCUGUUCCUGAUGGUUUUCCUGGAGAGAAGUGGCUUCUUUGCUGCCCUUCUUGACACCAGGCCAUCCUCCAAAAGUCUUUGCCUCACUGUGCGUGCAGAUGCACUCACACCUGCCUGCUGUCAUUCCUGAGCAAGCUCUGUACUGGUGGUGCCCCGAUCUUGCAGCUGAAUCAACUUUAGGAGACGGUCCUGGCGCUUCCUGGGAUUUCUUGGGCGCCCUGAAGCCUUCUUCACAACAAUUGAACCGCUCUCCUUGAAGUUCUUGAUCUGAUAAAUGGUUGAUUUUUUUGAACCACCAGGUGCAAUCUUACUGGCACCAAUAUCCUUGCCUGUGAAGCCCUUUUUGUGCAAUGCAAUGAUGACGGCACAUGUUUCCUUGCAGGUAACCAUGGUUGACAGAGGAAGAACAAUGAUUCCAAACACCACCCUCCUUUUGAAGCUUCCAGUCUGUUAUUCAAACUCAAUCGGCAUGACAGAGUGAUCUCCAGCCUUGUCCUCGUCAACACUCACACCUGGGUUAACGAGAGAAUCACUGACAUGAUGUCAGCUGGUCCUUUUGUGGCAGGGCUGAAAUGCAGUGGAAAUGUUUUUGGGGGAUUCAGUUCAUUUGCAUGGCAAAGAGGGACUUUGCAAUUAAUUGCAAUUCAUCUGAUCACUCUUCAUAACAUUCUGGAGUAUAUGCAAAUUGCCAUCAUACAAACUGAGGUAGCAGACUUUGUGAAAAUUUAUAUUUGUGUCAUUCUCAAAACUUUUGGCUCCGGCUGUAAAUACAUGAGAAGAGUAAUGCCAGAUAUGUAAACAUUAAGUGACUAAGAUACCGUAGAAUAGUUUAGAAUACAGUAUAUGCAUAUGAGAUGAGUAAUGCAAGAUAUCUAAACAUUAAUUGACUAGUGUUCCAUUAUCAACCAGCGUGUUUCUGGGGAAGGGGGUGUAUCUGAGCACCAUCAGCUAGGACUUGACAUUGGUUAAUCAAAUCUCCCCAUUCUUGCUAAAUGUUGCAUGCCUUCUCAAACAGCUACAACUGUAUGCAUUCGCACAUCAAGUCCUUUCUUGAGUUGGGCAAGGGAUGGAACAACAGUUGAACAUCUGAGCUUGUGGUUGUUUGUGGGGGUGGGGUGUGUGUACGUACGUACGUACAGUGGAAGUCAGAAGUUUACAUACACUUAGCUUGGAGUCAUUAAAACUCGUUUUUCAACCACUUCACAAAUUUCUUGUUAACAAACUAUAGUUUUGGCAAGUCGGUUAGGACAUCUACUUUGUGCAUGACACAAGUCAUUUUCCCAACAAUUGUUUACAGACAGAUUAUUUCACUUAUAAUUCACUGUAUUACAAUUCCAGUGGGUCAGAAGUUUACAUACACUAGGUUGACUGUGCCUUUAAACAGCUUGGAAAAUUCCAGAAAGUUAUGUCAUGGCUUUAGAAACUUCUGAUAGGCUAAUUGACAUAAUUUGAAUCAAUUGGAGGUGUACCUGUGGAUGUAUUUCAAGGCCUACCUUCAAACUCAGUGCCUCUUUACUUGACAUCAUGGGAAAUUCAAAAUAAAUCAGAAAUCAGAAAUAAAUUGUAGACCUCCACAAGGCUGGUUCAUCCUUGGGAGCAAUUUCCAAAUGCCUGAAGGUAACACAUUCAUCUGUACAAACAAUAGUGUGCAAGUAUAAACACCAUGGAACAACGCAGCCGUCAUACCGCUCAGGAAGGAGCCGCGUUCUGUCUCCUAGAGAUCAAUGUACUUUGGUGCCGAAAAGUGCAAAUCAAUCCCAGAACAACAGCAAAGGGGAAAUGACCUUGUGAAGAUAGUGGAGGAAACAGGUACUAAGUAUCUAUAUCCAUAGUAAAACGAGUCCUAUAUCGACAUAACCUGAAAUUCCGCUGGGCAAGGAAGAAGCCACUGCUCCAAAACCGCCAUAAAAAAGCCAGACUACAGUUUGCAACAGCAUAUGGGGACAAAGAUCGUACUUUUGGGAGAAAUGGAAAAAGUGGGAGACUUGAAGAGCACCAUGGUGGCAGCAUCAUGUUGUGGGGGUGCUUUGCUGCAGGAUGAACUGGUGCACUUCACAAAAUAGAUGGCAUCAUGAGGAAAGAAAAUGUGGAUAUGUUGAAGCAACAUCUCAAGACAUCAGUCAGGAAGUUAAAGCUUGGUCGCAAAUGGGUCUUCCAAAUGACCAAUGACCCCAAGCAUACUUCCAAAGUUGUGGCAAAAUGGCUUAAGAACAACAAAGUCAAGGUAUUGGAGUGGCCAUCACAAAGCCCUGACCUCAAUCCUAUAGAAAAUUUGUGGGCAGAACUGAAAAAGCGUGUGCGAGCAAGAAGGCCUACAAACCUGACUCAGUUACACCAGCUCUGUCAGGAGGAAUGGGCCAAAAUUCACCCAACUUAUUGUGGUAAGCUUGUGGAAGAAACGUUUGACCCAAGUUAAACAAUUUAAAGGCAAUGCUACCAAAUACUAACUGAGUGCAUGUAAACUUCUGACCCACUGGGAAUGUGAUGAAAGAAAUAAAAGCUGAAAUAAAUCAUUCUCUCUACUAUUAUUCUGACAUUUCACAUUCUUAAAAUAAAGUGGUGAUCCUAACUGACCUAAGACAGGGAAUUUUUAUUAGGAUUAAAUGUCAGGAAUUGUGAAACACUUCCUGCAUACUGCUAUGAAAACUCACCUCAUUCUCCAGAGCAAAUAAUCGUUUUAUUGGAUACAAGCCAUGUCUACUUAUUUUCUAUAUUGACAGACUAAUUUACAGUUUUAUUGAAACAUGGUUACAUGCCAACAAAUGAAAGUUGAAAUGCACCAACUCCCUGCAUCAUUUGUUUUAGCAGUAAUAUUGUAGCUAGUUACUUCCAAAUACAUUUCAUGAAUUUCACAAUGAAUUGAUGCAGUAUUUGAAGUCCUCAUGAUUGUUUUCUGAUGCAGCUUGAAUCAUUUGGUCACUUGUCAUAGACUUGUAAAAAAAAAAAUAUAUAUAAAAGAUUUGAUCAAACUCCAUUAUAUACAUACUAGCUAGCUCAACUUGCCUAGCUUGACUUGUAGUGGUCCUAGCAAGCCCUGUUAUGGCCGAAUCAAAAACUUAUACUGUACUGAACAACACUGCUUCAUGUAAAAAUAGAGCUUUUUACAGAAAAAAAACAAAAACGUCUCAAGCACUCAAUCAGCCAUUUUAAUUAUUUAAUCAUCUUGGAUAGACAAUGCACAGUAACAUUGCUCCUGUGAACCUGUAGAAACUAGUACCGCCUCGGUUUAGCCCGCCUUUGAGAUUAGGAACACAAUUCUAGAAGGAAGAAGGGCUCCCGUCAGGCUGUAGUCUUUACAAAGCCAUGUAAAAUGUGUCAACCUAGAUAUGCUGCAAUGUUGUGGCAGACAGGAACAUCGUCCAAUGUCUCUAUUGAACAAGGAUAACCAUAUCUACUCGCUGCAAAAUGAUUGUGCAAUCGGUGAAACACAAAGGCCACAAUAAUUGCUACAAAACAUGACUCCAUUCAUUUUAGGAUCAAUCAAUCGCUGACGUCACUGGUUGAACCUACUCGGCGCGAGAAUGGAAAAAAUGCAACUAUGGUGCUUAAUUAUCUCAGUAUCUCAGUGCGGUGUGUACCUCUGUUUCUGCC